rnacentral:lncRNA from 1 species
AAAGUGCGACAUCCAUCCUUGCAAUUAGAGUCAAUGAACUUUAAUGAUUUGAGAGUAUAAUGAAGUUUUUAUAGCGUCAUCUCAAACAGCUCACAAAUCAACAGUAAACCGUUAUAUCAUAAUAAAAGACUAUAAUAAUAAUCAAUGCAAGAGUAAUUCAAUUUUUAAUUACCUUAAGAGUUGCUCAGAUUAUUAUCUCUAAUGAUAUUUUACGAUUGAGCAUGUAAGUAACAAGAUAACUUAUAAUUCGUAAAAUUAACCAAACACAGUAAUUCAUGCAUCUAGCAAAUAUGGAUCAUAUAUGCGAUUGAUCAACAUUAUUCUAGGAUUGGCUGGUUUAAUUAACAAUAUCUGCUGCAUCAUUAUUCAAUCAACUUUGGAGUACAUAUAGAAACAACUAAUAUCCAUGCCCAAAAUAUCUGAUGCAUUAAUUUUAGAUUUCCAAAAAGAAAAUAUAUUGAAUUAGCCAAAACCUAGAUCCAUUCAUCAUGAACAGGAACCAUACGGCAUACAUAAAACCAAUAUUUAUAAAAUUGCAUCACGAUCCAAAGCACAAUCACACCUUAUUAAUAGUCACACAAAAUUUGAUCAAAUAAAAAAUGUGAU